rnacentral:snoRNA from 2 species
AGCGACAUUAAGAGCUCUUGUAAUUUGAAGAUAUCUGAUGUUGAUACAUACAUUCAUGGUCUUCAAAGUUCUCUCAUUGCU